rnacentral:tRNA from 1 species
GCGGAAAUAGCUCAGUUGGUAGAGCAUUGGCUUCCCAAGCCAAAGGCCACGGGUUCGAGCCCCGCUUUCCGCUCCA